AUGGUAAAGGUCCAAGUCACCAGAUUUGUCCACAUAGAGCACCUGGACUCUAGGGCGGCUUUAAAACUUCAACAAAGAGUCAUCAUCAAUGACUCCUUCAUUGUAUAAACAACAUGGUGUACAUAUUCCAGUAUGAUUUAAUACAUGGCAAUUUCAGUGGCACUGUUGAGGCUGAGAACAAGAAGCUUGUCCACAAUGGGAAGGCCAUCUCUAUUUUCCAGAAGCCAUAUGCUGCCUACAUCAAAUGGGUUGAUGCUGUGCUGAAUAUGUUGUGGAGUCCAUUGGUCCUGGGGCUCACUUAAAUGGUGGAGCCAAAGGGGUCAUCACAUCUGUCCCUUCUACUGAUGCCCUCACAUUUUUGAUAUUCCCAACUUCAACACAGUUUCCCUCCCAGACUCCAAGAACCAUGAGAAGUAUGACAGCUCCCUCAAGAUUGUCAGCAAUGCCUCAAGUAUCACCAAUUGCCUUCGCCCUCUGAUAAGUCAUCCAGGAUAACUUUGGCAUCAUGAAGGGAGCAAAGUUCUUAUGAUCACUGAUACCAGAAGACUGGUAAUGGUCCAUCUGAGGAACUGGCAUGACAGGGUGGGGCUGCCCAGCACAUCAUCUCUGUGUCUCCUGAAUCUGCCAGGAUUGUGAGCAAGGUUACGCCAGCUGAAUGGGAAGUUCUCCAACUUGGCUUUCUGUGUCCGUGUCCCAACUGUGUUGGUUGUGGACCUAGCCUGCCAUCUGGAGAAAGCUCCAAUUGUGAUGGCAUCAAGAAAAUAGUACAGCAGGUAUCAGAGGGCCUGUAAGGAGCAUCCAGGGCUACACUGAGAACCAGAUUGUCUCCUUUGACGUUAACAGUGGUGCCUACUAUUUAUCUUUUCAUGCUGGGGCUGAAUUGUUCUCAAGGACCACUUUAUCCAGCUCAUUUCCUGGUAUAAUAAUGAAUUUGAUUACAGCAAGAGUGGCAAACCUUAUAG
rnacentral:lncRNA from 1 species